CGCGCUGCGCUGCGCUCCCCUCCUGCCGGCUGAGGGGCCGCCUCCGCCAUGGUGCUGGAGUCGGUGGUGGCGGAUCUGCUGAACCGCUUCCUGGGUGACUAUGUGGAGAACCUGAACAAGUCCCAGCUCAAGCUGGGUAUAUGGGGCGGUAAUGUGGCACUUGACAAUUUACAGAUCAAGGAGAAUGCAUUAAGUGAACUGGAUGUACCCUUUAGAGUAAAAGUUGGUCAGAUAGAUAAACUUACUCUGAAGAUUCCUUGGAAGAAUCUCUAUGGAGAGGCAGUCGUUGCAACUCUAGAAGGCUUGUAUCUUCUGAUAGUCCCUGGAGCAAGUGUUAAAUAUGAUGCAGAGAAGGAAGAAAAAUACUUGCAGGAUAAUAAACAAAAGGAACUGGCAAGAAUUGAAGAAGCCUUGCAGAAAGCAGCAGAAAAAGGCACUCACUCAGGAGAGUCCCUGUAUGGGUUGGAGAGUCUGGUUUACAAGGACACCAAGCCUGGACGUAAGCGUAAAAGGUACAAAAAGCAUUUUAAGAGACCCUUUAAAGGUCAUGACCACUCAAAAGACAAACCAAAGGAGGAGAAGAAGGAUACUUUCUUAGAAAAGCUUGCAACUCAAGUCAUAAAAAAUGUGCAAGUCAAAAUCACGGGCAUUCAUGUUAAAUAUGAAGAUGAUAUCACGGACCCGCAGUGUCCGAUUUCCCUGGGGAUGACGUUGGGCGAGCUUAGUUUGCUGACAACAAAUGAGAACUGGAAACCUUCCAUUCUGAAUGAAGCUGCAAAAAUAAUAUACAAGCUUUUGUGCCUGGACAGCCUCAGUGCUUACUGGAACGUGCACAGCCCAAUGUACUACCAUGGCUCCCGGGAGCAGAUCCUGGACCAGCUGAAAAGAGGAAUUCCAUGUGGUGGUAACCAGCCAGAAGAUUACCAGUACAUUUUUAGACCAGUGUCAGCCUCUGCAAGACUGUAUAUCAACCCCUAUGCAGAAUUAGAACUGAAAACUCCCAAGAUUGAUUGUAAUGUGGAAGUACAGAGAAUUGUCAUUGAAUUCACUAAACCACAGUACCUGAGCAUGCUGGACCUGCUGGAGUCCAUCGACUGCAUGGUGCGCAACGCGCCCUACCGGCGCUUCCGGCCCCGCGAGCCCCCGCACGGACACGCCGCGCUCUGGUGGAAAUAUGCAGGUGACAGUGUCCUCGAAGUUCACAUCAGAAGACACACUCGAAUGUGGUCGUGGAGUAACAUCAAACAGCACAGGCAGCUUCUGAAGAGUUACAAAAACACCUACAAGCACAAGCUGACACAGAGUAAACUGUCAGAAGAAACUCAGAGGCAAAUUCAGGACCUAGAAAGACAGCUUGACGUCUUCAAUAUAAUCUUAGCAAGGCAACAAGCACAAGUGGAGACAAUAAGAUCGGGACAAAAAUUACUGAAGAAGAAAAGCACUGAAGUAGAAAAGAAAAGUGGAGGAUGGUUUGGUGGUUUCUGGGGUAAAAGAGAAUCUAGGAAGAAAGAAGAUGAGGAAUCCCCUGUUCCUGAAACUAUUGAUGAACUAAUGACACCAGAGGAGAAAGCCAAGCUUUUCACUGCCAUUGGAUACAGUGACAGCUCCCACAACCUUUCCUUACCAAAGCAGUAUGUUGCUCAUGUUGUGACACUGAAGCUGUUAAGCACUUCUCUUACAAUUAAAGAAGACAAGAAUGUGGCAGAAACUCUAAAAGUGCAGAUAAUUGAUCUGAGUACCAAAAUAUCCCAGCGCCCAGGAGCACAAGCCAUCAAGGUUGAAGCCAAGCUUGAAAACUGGUAUGUCACAGGGCUGAGACAGGAGCACAUUGUUCCAUCUCUUGUGGCCUCCAUUGGGGACAGCAAAUCUUCCCUGCUGAAGAUCGAGUUUAACACUAACCCAGAGGACAGCACAGCUGACCAGAGCCUAUCCAUCGAGUCCCAGCCUGUGGAAAUCAAAUACGAUGCAAGAACAAUAAAUGCAAUGGUAGAAUUCUUCCAGACAAGUAAGGGAAUGGACCUUGAAAGGUUAACAACAGCCACCUUAAUGAAGCUGGAAGAAAUCAAGGAGAGAACUGCUACAGGGUUAGUUCAUAUCAUUGAAAUGCGGAAAGUCCUGGACUUGAAGAUUAACCUGAAACCUUCCUACCUCGUGGUUCCCCAGACGGGUUUCUACCAGGAAAAUUCAGCUUUGCUCAUUUUGGACUUCGGUACAUUUCAGCUGAACAGCAUAAAUCAAGGCAGCAGUCAAACUUCCACCUUUUCAUCUCUGGAGGAGAUUAUGGACAAAGCUUAUGACAAGUUUGAUGUGGAAAUAAAAAACGUGCAGCUUCUUUUUGGAAGAACAGGUGAAGACUGGAAGAAGGCUCGUUUUCAACGUCCAUCAACGUUGCACAUUUUGCAGCCCAUGGAUAUUCACGUGCAGUUGGCAAAGUCAAUGGUGGAAAGAGACACCAGGAUGCCCAAGUUUAAAGUGUCAGGAGGCCUUCCUUUGGUCCAUGUCAGACUGUCAGACCAGAAGAUCAAGGCAAUUUUUGAUCUGAUUGACAGCAUUCCCUUGCCUCAGAAGUCAUCUGUGUCAGCUCCAAGCACAAAGGUACCAGCUAUUCCCACAAUUCCUGUUGUCAGUAAAGGGUUACUUGGGACACCCCAGUUGUUGGCAGAGAUGGUGUCAGAUUCUGAAGAAGAGUAUUUUGAUUUUGAGGAAAGCUCUGAGCCAACUGACAGGUCACUAAUUAAAGGAGAAGAAACGAGAAGUGAGGAGCCUGCUCAAGAGGAGCUGACAGACCUUCAGCUGAAGUUUGAAAUUAAAGAGGUUUUAGUAGAACUCACCAAGCAAAAGCAAACUGAGGAAACAGUGCUUGUGUUUGAUGUAAUGCAUCUGGGGACAGAGGCUACUGUCAGAACCUAUAACUUAGCAGCUGUAUCUUACUUAAAGAAAAUAAGCCUGGAUUACUAUGAAAUUGGAGGUAAAAAAACACCCAUUCACCUCAUUAGUUCCUCAGAUAAACCUGGCUUAGACCUUCUGAAGGUGGAAUAUAUCAAGGCUGACAGAAAUGGGCCGCAGUUUCAGACAGCUUUUGACAACACUGAACAGAUGAUUCAAGUAACUUUUUCAUCACUGAACCUCCUGUUGCACACAGAGGCCCUGCUGUCUGCUCUCAGCUUUCUGACAGCUGUCAGCCCAUCUGGCAGCGAGAGCAGGGGAGACUCACCAGUGAGAGAAAAGCAAGAGGAUGACACUAGACUGAAAAAAGUGGCUAGACCUUCCAAGGAUAAGGAUGUGUUUGACUGCAAGGUCUUUGCCAAGCUGGAUGCCUUCUGUUUAAAUAUUUGUGAUGAGAAAAAGAACAUUGCGGAGAUCAAGAUACAAGGUCUUGACUCAUCCCUUUGCCUUCAGCCAAGUCACACUGUAUUCUUUGCCAGACUUAAAGACAUAGUUGUCACAGAUGUUGAUUCAAGGACCCUUCAUAAAAAAGCCGUGUCUAUAGUAGGAGAUGAAGUUUUCAGUUUCAAUCUGACGUUAAAUCCACAAGCUACUGAGGGAGAAGCCUACACUGACAUGUCCAAAGUGGAUGGUUCUGUAUCUCUGAGGGUGGGCUGCAUUCAGAUAGUGUUCCUUCACAAGUUCCUCAUGGCUCUUGUGACCUUCUUGAACAACUUCCAGACAGCCAAGGAGGCUCUGAGUGCUGCCACAGCCCAGGCUGCAGAAAAGGCUGCCACCAGUGUGAAGGACCUGGCUCAGAGGAGCUUUCGCCUGGCCAUGGACAUUCACCUGAAAGCACCAGUUAUCAUCAUCCCCCAGUCCUCAGUGUCCCCCAGGGCCAUAGUGAUAGACCUGGGCUUGAUCAGGGUGCAGAACCAGUUCAGCUUGGUGUCUGCAGAGGGCAGCUCCCUGCCUCCAGUCAUUGACAAAAUGGAUGUGCAGCUGACAAAGCUGAAGAUGUCCAGGACCACUGUGGAGGCAGAUUCGUCACAUGCAGAUAUUCAGAUUCUUCACCCUAUCAAUUUAAGCCUGUCAGUGAAGAGAAAUCUGUCUGCAGCUUGGUUUCACAAACUGCCUGUGCUGCAGGUCACGGGCUACCUGGACACAAUGAACGUCGUGUUAAGUCAAGAGGAUUUGAAUGUCUUUCUCAGAGUGUUGACAGAAAACCUUGGUGAAGCAGAAGAAGAACAAACUGAUGCCAAAUCAGUCCUGCAAAAGGAAGGUAAAUCCAAAGAAAUGGAGAGAUCAGUUUUGGUACAGGCUAAGAGUGGUCCAGAAGGAAUGCUGUCUGAAAAGAGGAAAGAGCCAUUGAAUGAAGAUGUAAUCAAUGUGCUGCUUAAUUUUGAAAUCAAAGAGGUUGUAGUGACCUUGAUGAAGCAGGUUCAGAAGGACAGAUACCCGUUACAUAUCCUGACUGUGCUACAGCUUGGAACUGAAACCAAAGUCAGAAACCAUGAAUUGACUGCAGCAGCAUAUCUGAAAAAAAUUGCCAUGAGAUGCACUGAGAUAAAGGACUCAAAAGGAGAUCCUCUUUGCAUUAUUAAUUCUUCAAGUGAGACAGAUGAGCACCUUCUGAAAAUGGAAUACAUUAAGGCUGAUCCUGAUGGGCCAGACUUUGUUACAACUUACAAAAGCACCAAACAGAACAUCAAUGUCAUCUUUUCAUCUUUGGAUAUAGUCCUUCACACAGAGGCUUUGCUUUCCAUCUUGAGUUUUCUCACCUUCAGUGUUCCAUCAGGUGGUCUUCCCAGUGCUGAUAAAUCAUCAGACCACAAGCCUCAAACAAAAGAAGAGGACAAAGGAAGUGCUCUUAGACCAGUGCCUGGUGAUGCAGCCCACGAUGAUAUCUGUGAAUUAAAACUCACUGCAAAGCUCAAUGCAUUCAGCAUCACGGUGUGUGAUCAGACCUGUAGGAUUGCAGACAUCAGAAUACAAGGAAUGGAUGCAUCUGUAGCUAUGAAGCCUAAAAAGAUUAAAGUGUUCUCCAGGCUUGAGGACAUUGUAAUUACAAAUGUUGAUCCCAAAACAGUCCAUAAAAAGGCUGUGUCCAUAAUGGGAGAUGAAGUGUUCAGAUUUCACGUGUCCCUUUACCCCGACGCCACUGCAGGGGAAGCCUACACUGACAUGUCGAGGGUGGAUGGCAAGAUGUCUCUCAAAGUGGGCUGCAUCCAAAUAAUUUACCUCCACAAGUUCUUUAUGUCUCUCUUGAACUUCCUGAACAACUUCCAGACAGCCCAGGAAGCCCUGACUGCAGUCACUGCCCAGGCAGCAGAAAUGGCAGCUUCCAGCAUGAAGGACUUUGCCAGGAAGAGCUUCCGCCUCUCCAUGGAUGUCAACCUGAAAGCUCCAGUUAUCGUAAUUCCUGAAUCUCCAGCUUCAUACAACGCUUUGGUGGCUGACCUUGGCUUAAUCAGAGUGCAGAAUGAAUUCAAGCUGGUGCCUUCAGAUGAAUCUCCUCUUCCUCCAGUCAUUGACAGCAUGGAUGUGCAGCUGACUCAUUUGAAGUUAUCAAGGUGCAUCAUAUCCACAGAUUCUCAACCAGACUCUGAAAUUCUGUGUCCUGUGAGUUUGACUUUACUGGUGCAGAGAAAUUUAGCAGCAGCGUGGUAUCAUAAAUGCCCAACAAUUGGUAUCAAAGGAGACCUGAAACCAAUGCAGAUUGCACUCAGUGAAGAUGAUCUGACUGUUAUCAUGAAAAUUUUACUUGAAAACCUCGGGGGGGCUUCUUCCCAACCAACUGCUGUGCAGGAGAACGUGGAGUUUACACAGAUCCCUAAAAAAGGGAAAGUUCCCCAUGAAUCUGGUCCUCUUCUUGCUUCUGAACAAAAGAGUGUUUCUACAGCUCAGUCUUGUGUGGAAUGUUACACAACACUUAAAUUUGACUUCAAUUUUGAGUCACUUUCUGUCAUUCUCUACAACAGUGACAAGAAUCAGAGGGCUCAGCUCCCCGAGCACAGUGACAGAUUGCGCCUGGGAGAGCUGCGCCUGCUCCUCAUGGCAUCGGCUGGGGACAUGUUCUCAGAUGGCUCCAUGGAUGUCAAAGUUCAGCUCAAGGCCUGCACCUUGGAUGAUCUCAGAGAAGGAAUUCAGAAUGUGACUGCGAGAAUGAUAGACAAGAAAGAUGACACACAUGACAGUUCUAUGAUAGAUAUAAGGUAUAAGCAGGAUAAAAAUGGAACUGAAGUUGUUGCAGUCCUUGACAAGCUCUACAUAUGUGCCAGUAUGGAGUUUUUGUUGACAGUAGCAGAUUUUUUCAUUAACUCGAUGCCAGCAUCCUCAACUGAAAGAUCUGCACAGUUCCAAUUAAAGCAAGUUGCUUCUGGGAAAUCCAAGCCAGAAACAGAAACACCUGUACGGCCAAAUAUGACAGUAAAAGCUGUGAUUCUGGACCCAGAAGUUGUGUUUGUUGCUAAUUUGACCAAUGCUGAUGCUCCUGCCUUAAAAGUUUCCUUCCAGUGUAACUUUUCUCUGACAUCUGGAAGGGAUGCACAGAGGAUGACUGCUCAAGUGAAUGGCUUCAAAGUGUUGGCCUGUGCCUUUCUCAAGGAAAAACAAGACAAGAAUGUUACUACUGUGUUACGACCCUGUUCCUUGGUCAUGGAAAAUAUGGUGCAUGUCUCAGGAUUGCAGACUGUGGCAGUAACAAUGGAAGAACUGAUUAUUAAGAUCUCGCCCAUAAUUCUGAACACUGUCAUUACCAUUAUGGCUGCCAUAAAACCCAAGGCAACAGAGGAGGAUUCCAGAGGAGCAGCUGAAGUUUCUGAGAAUCUGUGGCAAGUGAAGCCUGUGGAUGAGUGCAAUGCUUGGUUUCUCGGUGUUGAUGUUGCCACAGAAGCAACAGAAACUUAUAAGGACUGGGAACAAGUUGUGAAACAGGAGAAGUUUGACAUCGUGGUGAAAUCAGUGCAGAUGACCUUGGAGUGUGGGCUGGGACAUCGCACUGUCCCUUUACUGUUGGUGGAAUCUGCUUUCUCAGGGGUCCUUAAAAACUGGUCGUCGCUGAUGGAGGUCACUGCUGACACAUCCCUGGAGAUUCAUUAUUACAAUGAAACCUAUGCAGUGUGGGAGCCACUUAUUGAACGAGUUGAAGGAGGAAAGAAGCAGUGGAAUUUGAAACUGGAGAUGAAGACUAACCCUGUCCAGGAGAGAAGUCUGAUGCCUGGGGAUGAUUUCAUCGUUCUUCCUGAGCCCCAGACUGCCAUUAGCAUCUCCUCCAAGGACACAAUGAAUAUCACAAUAUCCAAGUGUUGUCUGGCUGUUUGCAGUAACCUGGCCAAGGCAUUUUCCGAAGCGACUGCCUCCACAUUUGACUAUUCCUUCAAAGAGACAGCACCUUUUGUAGUGAAAAACGCCCUGGGGGUGCCUCUCAAAGUGCUCCCCAGCUCCAGUUUUCGGGUAGUUGGUUCCACUGGCAAAGAGAACACGAAGGACAUCGAGGUUGGUCAGAGCCUGGAGCUGGAGUAUUCUGCGUGUGAGGUGCCCCAGCGGGGCAGAUUGUCUGCCCUGCACCGACAGGAGAGCACCAUCUUCUCCUUGAACUUAGAACUGCAGGGGUACAAGGACGCCCUGAGCAUUCCCGUGGCCAAGCCGGGCCGGCGGCUGUACAACACCAGGAGCCCUGCCGGCCACUCCCACUCCAUCAUCGUGCAGAUUGACGCCACAGAAGGGAACAAGGUCAUCACUGUGCGCUCCCCUCUGCAGAUCAAGAACCAUUUCUCCAUCCCAUUUAUGAUCUAUAAACUGGCUAAAGGCUCCAGGGUGCUGGAGGCAAUUGGCAUCUCCAGGCCAGAGGAAGAAUUCCAUGUUCCUUUGCACUCCUACACGUGUCACCUGUAUGUCCGGCCCACGGGGGUGUUCGAGGGGCAGUUCAGAGAGUCCACCACCUACAUUGCCUGGAGGGAGGAGCUGCACAGGAGCACUGAAGUGAAGUGCUUGUUGCAGUGCCCAGCCAUGGAGACAAAUUUCCUGCCUCUGAUCAUCAGCUCAACAGCUGUACCUGAUGAACUCAGUUUUAUUUCACCCUAUGAAGAGGAGUGGGAUCCUGCCUACAUUAUCCACCUUUACCCCACACUCACUGUGAGGAAUCUUCUGCCGUACUCCUUGAGAUAUUUACUGGAGGGCACAGCAGAAGCCCGGGAAUUAACCGAAGGGAGCGCCGCAGACGUUUUCCAUUCCAGAAUCAACGGAGAAAUAAUGGAACUUGUGCUGUUAAAAUACCAAGGCAAAGACUGGAAUGGGCAUCUUAAAAUUCACGAGGGGAUGCCGGAGUUUUUCCCCGUGUGCUUCACCUCGCACUCUGCAGCGUCCAUGACCGUGGAUGUUUACAUCCACACCAGGAGGCUCGGCAGCCGCAUGGUCCUGGCCGUCUUCAGUCCCUACUGGAUCAUCAACAAGACCUCCCGUGUUCUGCAGUACCGAGCUGAGGACACUCAUGUGAAGCAUCCAGCAGACUACAGAGACAUUGUUCUGUUCUCGUUUAAAAAGAAAAACAUCUUUAGUAAAAAUAAGAUCCAGCUCUGUAUUUCAACCAGCACUUGGUCCAGCAGCUUUUCCCUCGAUACUGUAGGAAGCUAUGGAUGUGUCAGGUGUUCAGCUAAUAACAUGGACUACCUGGUUGGAGUCAGCAUCAAAAUGAGCAGUUUUAACCUGACCAGGAUAGUUACCUUCACUCCAUUCUACACAAUAGCAAACAAGUCUUCUCUGGAACUUGAAGUUGGAGAAAUUGGUCCCAGUGGCUCUCUUCCAACUAAUAAAUGGAAUUAUAUCUCAGCUUCAGAGUGUCUUCCAUUCUGGCCUGAAAGCUCAUCUGGUGAACUUUGUGUCAGAGUAGUUGGCUACGAGAGCCCAUCCCAACCAUUCCUGUUUAAUGCCCAGGACAAUGGUACCCUGCUGAAACUGGAAGAGUUGAAUGGGGGCUUGCUGGUGGAUGUGAAUGUUUCUGAGCACUCUACUCUCAUAACCUUCUCUGAUUACCACGAGGGAGCUGCCCCAGCCCUGAUUGUGAACCACACCCCGUGGGACUCCCUCAGGUACAAGCAGAGUGGAUUACAAAAGGAAAUGGAGUUGAAACCAAGGCAAGUGUGCCUGUUUGCCUGGACAGAUCCAACUAAACCAAGAAAAUUGACUUGGGGCUACAGCCAGAAUUUUGGUGAACAUGACCUACUUAAGGAUGACUGUGGCCAGUUCCCCUACAAUGCCAACACUCAGAUCCACUGGGUGUCCUUCCUGGACGGGCGUCAGCGGGUGCUGCUCUUCACUGAUGACGUGGCUCUGGUCUCUAAAGCCCGCCAGGCAGAGGAGCUGGAGCAACCUGACCAAGAAAUAAACCUGUCCAUCCACAGCCUGGGGCUUUCUCUGGUUAACAAUGAAAAUAAAAAAGAAAUCUCUUACAUAGGAAUUACCAGUUCUGGUGUUGUUUGGGAAAGGAAACCAAAGCACAAGUGGAAACCAUUUAAUCAAAAGCAAAUAAACCUGUUGGAACAAGCCUAUCAAAAGUAUCUCUCUAAGACAGCUUUCCAAGGUCCUGGGUGGCAUAAACUGGACAGCAACACUGAGGUGAAUUUCAGUAAGUUUCCCAUGGAAAUGCGUCUGCCAGUCCGGUGCAGCAUCCGCCGGAACUUCCUGUCGGGAAUUCAGGUGGAAUUCAAGCAGUCCCCUCACCAGAGGAGCUUACGGGCUCAGCUGUACUGGCUGCAGGUGGAUAAUCAGUUGCCAGGAUCGAUGUUUCCUGUUGUGUUUCAUCCUGUACCCCCUCCCAAGUCCAUUGCUUUGGAUUCAGAACCAAAACCCUUCAUUGAUAUCAGUGUCAUCACCAGAUUCAACGAGUACAGCAAAGUGCUGCAAUUCAAGUACUUCAUGGUUCUUAUCCAGGAAAUGGCACUGAAAAUUGAUCAGGGAUUUUUAGGAGCACUUGGUGAACUUUUCACUCCAUCUACAGACCCAGAAGCUGAAAGACAAAGGUCUAAACUAAUUCAGCCAGAUGUGGAUGCACUGAACACUGAGCUGAUGGAGUCCUCCCUGACAGACCUGUCCAUGCUCAGCUUCUUUGAACAUUUCCAUAUUUCUCCAAUUAAGUUGCAUUUGAGUUUGUCUCUGGCUUCUGGUGGGGAAGCAUCAGACAAGGGGGAGGACAUGAUAGCCAUCCAUUCUCUGAACCUGCUGCUGAAAAGCAUUGGAGCCACUCUGACAGAUGUGGAUGACGUUGUUUUCAAACUCGCUUUCUUUGAAAUCAAAUAUCAGUUCUACAAGAGAGAUCAACUGAUGAAGAGAGUUGUUAGACAUUACAGUGAACAGUUCCUGAAACAGAUGUAUGUCCUUGUGCUUGGAUUAGAUGUUCUUGGAAAUCCAUUUGGCCUAAUCAGAGGCUUGUCUGAGGGAGUGGAAGCUUUCUUUUAUGAGCCAUUCCAGGGUGCUGUUCAAGGACCUGAAGAAUUUGCUGAAGGCUUUGUAAUUGGUGUUAGGAGUCUCCUUGGCCACACAGUGGGUGGUGCAGCAGGGGUGGUGUCCAGGAUCACUGGCACUGUUGGCAAAGGCCUGGCUGCCAUCACUCUGGAUGAAGAAUUCCAGCAGAAAAGGAGAGAGGAAAUGGGUCGGCAGCCGAAGGACUUUGGGGAGAGCCUGGCCAAGGGAGGGAAAGGCUUGUUACGGGGGGUUGUUGGAGGUGUCACAGGCAUCAUCACCAAACCAGUGGAAGGGGCUAAAAAAGAAGGAGCAGCUGGAUUCUUCAAGGGCAUUGGGAAGGGGCUGGUGGGAGUGGUGGCCCGGCCCACGGGAGGCAUCGUGGACAUGGCCAGCAGCACCUUCCAGGGCAUCCAAAGGGUGGCAGAGUCGACUGAAGAGGUGUCCAAUCUGCGUCCCCCACGGCUCAUCCGGGAGGAUGGCAUCAUCCGGCCCUACAACAGGGUGGAGGCUGAGGGCUAUGACCUGUUUGAGCAAGAACUGGACUAAUGGAGUAAACAUUUUCCAUAUUUCUCUUCUAUUUCUGUCACGGUCUUUUAUCUGCCUUAAAUACUUAGAUGAAGGGCAUGAUUGCAUUGAACAUGUCCUCUCCAUUCAUAUCUCUUCUGUGUAGCAGUUGAAUAAAACAGUGUUCCAUGUUGUCUGGGCUAAGAAAACCAACUUGAAUUACCAUCUGCAGUAAGAUUAGAUGAGUGAAUAAGAUGGGAGAGGCAGGCAGGGGUUGUCUCCUGUUUAUUUGGGUUUUUUUGCUCCUUAUGAGUGGCAACAACAGAAGGCACUUGGAAAAACGACUGUGGUGGGUUAGAUCCUGAGUUCAUUUAUUUAUUUUUUUAUUAGCAUCCUGGAAGAGCCAGGGCUGUGGAAUGAGGCAGAAAGCACCGUUUUGUGCAAAAUGUAAAAUAGUGCCAUCGAAUGGAAUUCACUUCUGGGAAAGUGCUUACAAUUCCAUGAGCUGUGUGCAUAUAAAUGCUGACACAACUUGUAGCUGUGGUGUCUGUGCUGUGCCAGGGGCCUGUCAGCUUUACAGCCCAUCACCCACCAUGCCUUCAGUUACCACUGCUGCUUUAUGAACAUUCCCAAUCAAACAUCCAGCAGCUGAGUGGACUCUGCGUUUCAUUCACAGCAUCUUUGGGGGCUUUGCUGUUCACCAGAAUUAAAGAGGUGUAAACUUUCAGCUGUUAACAGGAACUUACACGCACACAUACCCAGAUAUAUUUUAACAAAUAAAUAUAUAUAUAUAAAAAUAUAGAUAUCUGUUUCUAAAUGAAGCGGUGCCAUAAAUUUCAUUACUAACAAGCAUCUUAGGAAUGAGCAAGCUAAGCUUAACAAGCUGUGGUCAGAGCAAAUUUUUUGCCUGUCAGAGGGGAAAAAAGGUUGAACAGAAACGUCUCUGCCACCAAUGCCUUUUUAGUAUUUAGUGGUCAAUUCAAAAUGGUUUAAAAAAACAUUCAGUGAUUUUUUUGUUGUUGUUGUUAACUGAUUAAGUGUAAUUAAGUUGUGAUAUACUGAGCAGGUCACAUUGUGUCUGCUUGAGGUUUUUUAAUUUUUUUCACUAUAUUUUUUACAUCUAGAAAAAGGGAAAAGGUGGCACAAUUAACACUGAAAACUGGGUAUUAUAAACUGGAUAUUUUGCAUUUCCUGCACAUCUGGUAUUUAUGUUUUUCUUAGAUCUAAAUGGUGCAGAUUGGAAUUGUGUACUAACCAGGAUACUAACUCUGUGUAGUUCACUAUAUAUAGUUUGUUUCUCUCAAGAAGUCACUUAGUUGAAUACAGGGGUUUUGUUAAUUAAGUAUUUUGAUUAUUUCAAUUAUUUAAUUAUUUUAAUUGGUUGUUAUGCUAGAGGUGAAUGCUUGGAAGGUUUGUUUUCUAAUGUAAAUUAGAAGCAAGAGGGGACAGUGUCUUUACCGGAAAUAGGAUAUUUAACAGAAAGAUGGGUCAGAUAGUUUUAUGUGCAUUUAUGAAUUUAAUCACAAUAGGUGCAAGUGCUGUUUAUUUUUGGAUGCAGUUUUGAUGCUAUAUUACAAGUAGCUUAACCAGAACCCCCACCCUCUCAUCUAUUUUAACUACAUCUAAUGCCUGUGUCCCUUUAAAAUAAACACGUGCUUCCAAAGCUGGAACCUUGCAAGGUUACCUGAAGGAAUGGAUGCCUCAAUCCAGUGACUGGAUGAAAAAAUGCUUAAUUUGAAUAGCUGUGUGUGAAAUACAGACACUGGUAGGCACUGGAGCUUGUCCUGGGAGGAGCUGCUUCAAAGACAAGUUGCUUUUUUCCACUGGUAAGCGGCUUUGAGGUGCAGACUGAGGACAGGAGCCAGGUGGAGUAGAUGGGUUCAGGUUUGUAAAGUUGUUUCUGCAGUUCCUUUUCCCAGGAGUGCUGGGUCUGGUGGAUCUGGGCUGGGUAGGGAUGUGCUCAGUCCAUGCAGAGCUGGUCCCAUUGACACCCUGCAGGCCGUGCUGUGGCAGAUCCCAUUGACACCCUGCAGGCCGUGCUGUGGCAGAUCCCAUUGACACCCUGCAGGCCGUGCUGUGGCAGAUCCCAUUGACACCCUGCAGGCCAUGCUGUGACCGGUCCCAUUGACACCCUGCAGGCCGUGCUGUGACCGGUCCCAUUGACACCCUGCAGGCCGUGCUGUGGCCAGUCCCAUUGACACCCUGCAGGCUGUGCUGUGGCCGGUCCCAUUGACACCCUGCAGGCCGUGCUGUGACCGAGGUGGCUCCCCCGCUCUGCAGAGCUGACCCCCUGCACUCCCACACCGUGCAGUGCCCGAGCAGGACGUGCUUCCAUUUCCCAGUUAAGGAUGGAGCUUUAUAAAGAAUGCACAGCACCUCCUGAAUAAUUGAGGCAGGGUGGUGAGGCUGUUGUGUGGCAGAGAGAGAGCACAGGCUGUGCAGGGAACUGCAGAUUCUAUUUCUGGUUGCCUCCCUGUUCUGCUGGGGAAAUCUGCACUGGUUCUUUCGCUUCCCUGUAAAAUAAGAAUGAGUGAACUUCUUCAAAGUGCUCACAGAGAGAACAGCUUUGGAGAAAGAUGUCUGAAUUUUCAGUGUGCCGAUCAUGGAGUGAUUUCCAUCCCGUGCAGCCCCCUUGUUCCGCAGUGGCACCACCACUGUGCUGGCACCUCUCAGGUGGAUUGGGAAUAGCUCUGGGAAAUCCUGCGUCUUGCAGGCACAGCCCUCAGAGGGAACUCUGCCUUUAGGAACAUACUGCAUGGAGAAUCUAAAAAUACUGCCAGGAUUGCUUCUGAAGUGAUGAGAAAGCAGCCUUGCUCUCCAAAGCUCUGAGCCUGAAUAGAGAAACAUGCUUAUGAAUAAAUCUGUUUAAAUAUGUGGCAUGUCUAAUUUCUUCGUGUUCAACAAAAGGCUUUAGAGUAAGGAUAGCAGCCUUUGAGUUGCAGUCUUCACAUGCUGGUGGGUUUUACUCUUUCUUAAAUCUUGCACUUGUUUUUGAAACAGCUGUGGUUCAGGUGUAAAAUGGGAGUUCAUAUUUUCAUUUUAGUAGUGUCCUGCCAUCUUUGUUCUAAUGUCUUGCAGACACUUUGAGAUAAGAAGUCUUGCUGGCAUUUUUUAUUUCCUUUCAUGUGCACUGUACAGUUUCAGAAAUUUUUAAGAUGGUCAGAAAGGGAUAUUUUUUUAUAGAAGGUAUCAACUCUAUGGUUUUAAUUGCUGAUACAUGCUAAAUUAAAAUGUCUUUCAAAACUUCACAUCAUUAGAGAGCAAGUCGAGGAUAACACUAUGCUGUUGAUUUCAGUCUUGAAUAUUCAUCCACUUUGGGGCUUAAAGGAUUUUUGGGUCAUUUGUGAUAUAUGAUGAUGCUUUAAGACAUUUGUUGAACUUGUAGAUAUAUGAAAAUAAAAUGCAGAUAUAAAUAAAUGUUGAACCUUCUUUCAAUUGCAUCUUAUGUAAGCUGAUCUUUCAAUUUUGGUUACUUAAACUACACAGAGUUCUUAGCCUGUAUGGUUGACCCCAGAUAAAUGUGGAGUCAAGUGGAACUUCUGUUCACAUCUUACCAGUUUAAUGGGUCCAACUGUGGAAAUACAGAAGGAGAUUUAUGUUUACACGAAAUAACUAAAACCAUACUCAGUUUUUAGUCCUUCCUCUUGAGCUUGUUCUUCCUAGUUUGUCAGAAACAACUUGAGGCUAUUACUGUUAUACAGAGGCUGAAUUGCACAGUAACAACUGUAAAUUAACUGGCAGUCAUCCCACCUUGCUCUGCAGAGCAUCAGACCCCUUUUGGGACAUCCAGGUGCAGGCUCUUGCCAAGCACUGAUGUGAAGUGCAAGCCUUCUGCACCCAGGCUUUGUUCCUUGUGUGCCCUCAUGUCCUGCCCAGGAGCUGCACAUUCCUUGGGUGAUGAGAAAGGUGGUUGUGCUGACCUGGAGGGUACAGAGCUAACGUGCACUGAUAUUAUGGCUGUGUAACUUCCUUGCUAAUUUUUACUGAUUAAACAUUAUUUGCAAGUGGAA